CCUACGGGAGGCAGCAGUGAGGAAUAUUGGUCAAUGGGCGCGAGCCUGAACCAGCCAAGUAGCGUGAAGGAUGACUGCCCUAUGGGUUGUAAACUUCUUUUAUAAAGGAAUAAAGUUAUGCACGUGUGGCUUUUUGCAUGUACUUUAUGAAUAAGGAUCGGCUAACUCCGUGCCAGCAGCCGCGGUAAUACGGAGGAUGCGAGCGUUAUCCGGAUUUAUUGGGUUUAAAGGGAGCGUAGAUGGGUUGUUAAGUCAGUGGUGAAAGUUUGUGGCUCAACCGUAAAAUUGCAAUUGAGACUGGAAGCCUUGAGUACAGUUGAGGUAGGCGGAAUGCGUGGUGUAGCGGUGAAAUGCUUAGAUAUCACGAAGAACUCCGAUUGCGAAGGCAGCUUACUAAAC
rnacentral:rRNA from 1 species